rnacentral:rRNA from 1 species
UACGAAGGGUGCAAGCGUUACUCGGAAUUACCGGGCGUAAAGCGUGCGUAGGUGGUUGUUUAAGUCUGUUGUGAAAGCCCUGGGCUCAACCUGGGAAUUGCAGUGGAUACUGGGCGACUAGAGUGUGGUAGAGGGUAGUGGAAUUCCCGGUGUAGCAGUGAAAUGCGUAGAGAUCGGGAGGAACAUCUAUGGCGAAGGCAGCUACCUGGACCAACACUGACACUGAGGCACGAAAGCGUGGGGAGCAAACAGG